GAGUUUGAUCCUGGCCAGGAUGAACGCUAGCGGCAGGCUUAACACAUGCAAGUCGAGGGGUAGUUAUCUUCGGAUAAUGAGACCGGCGCACGGGUGCGUAACGCGUAUGCAAUCUACCUUGUACAGGGGGAUAGCCCAGAGAAAUUUGGAUUAAUACCCCAUGGUAUAAUUGAAUGGCAUCAUUUGAUUAUUAAAGUUCCAACGGUACAAGAUGAGCAUGCGUCCCAUUAGCUAGUUGGUGUGGUAACGGCACACCAAGGCAACGAUGGGUAGGGGUCCUGAGAGGGAGAUCCCCCACACUGGUACUGAGACACGGACCAGACUCCUACGGGAGGCAGCAGUGAGGAAUAUUGGUCAAUGGGCGCAAGCCUGAACCAGCCAUGCCGCGUGCAGGAUGACGGUCCUAUGGAUUGUAAACUGCUUUUGUACAGGAAGAAACACUCGGACGUGUCCGAGCUUGACGGUACUGUAAGAAUAAGGAUCGGCUAACUCCGUGCCAGCAGCGCGGUAA
rnacentral:rRNA from 1 species